UUUUAGCCCCGAUUGAAGUGAAAAUCCUUUUUAUUUUUCUUUAAAAAUAAAAAGAUUGCAACAAAAAGCGGGAAAUAGC
rnacentral:sRNA from 1 species